UACGUAGGGUGCGAGCGUUGUCCGGAAUUAUUGGGCGUAAAGAGCUCGUAGGCGGUUUGUCACGUCUGCUGUGAAAUCCCGAGGCUCAACCUCGGGCCUGCAGUGGGUACGGGCAGACUGGAGUGCGGUAGGGGAGAAUGGAAUUCCUGGUGUAGCGGUGGAAUGCGCAGAUAUCAGGAGGAACACCGAUGGCGAAGGCAGUUCUCUGGGCCGUAAUUGACGCUGAGGAGCGAAAGCGUGGGGAGCGAACAGG
rnacentral:rRNA from 1 species